rnacentral:rRNA from 1 species
GUCUGAAUGGGGGAACCCACCUACUUUAAGGUAGGUAUUGCAACAUGAAUACAUAGUGUUGCAAGGCGAACGAGGGGAAGUGAAACAUCUCAGUACCCUUAGGAAAAGAAAUCAAUUGAGAUUCCCUCAGUAGCGGCGAGCGAACGGGGAUCAGCCCAUUAAGUUAUGUGUGUUUUAGUGGAACGCUCUGGGAAGUGCGAACGUAGAGGGUGAUAUUCCCGUACACGAAAGGGCACACAUAAUGAUGACGAGUAGGGCGAGGCACGUGAAACCUUGUCUGAAUAUGGGGGGACCAUCCUCCAAGGCUAAAUACUCCUGACUGACCGAUAGUGAACCAGUACCGUGAGGGAAAGGCGAAAAGAACCCCUGUGAGGGGAGUGAAAUAGAUCCUGAAACCGCAUGCAUACAAGCAGUGGGAGCACCUUCGUGG